AGGGUUUGAUUAUGGCUCAGAUUGAACGCUGGUGGUAUGCCUAACACAUGCAAGUCGAACGGAGUAAUAAUUUGCUUGCAAAUUAUUACUUAGUGGCGGACGGGUGAGUAACGCGUAGGAAUCUGCCUUAUGGUGGGGGACAACAGUUGGAAACGGCUGCUAAUACCGCAUAUUAUUUUCGAAUAAAAGGUGCCCCGCACCUAAAUAGUGCAUUGCUAUCUGUUAAAGAUAGAUAGUUUUUAGUGUUUUGAAGACGAAUAAUAUUUUGUUUAGAGAUGCAGUGUAUUAUUUAGGUGCGGGGUGUCGCCAUAAGAUGAGCCUGCGUUGGAUUAGCUAGUUGGUGGGGUAAGGGCUUACCAAGGCGGUGAUCCAUAGCUGUUCUGAGAGGAAGAUCAGCCACACUGGGACUGAGACACGGCCCAGACUCUUACGGGAGGCAGCAGUGGGGAAUAUUGGACAAUGGGGGCAACCCUGAUCCAGCAAUACCAUGUGUGUGAAGAAGGCCUUAGGGUUGUAAAGCACUUUAGUUUGUGAGGAAGGUUAUUGGGUUAAGAGCUAGAUAAUUUGACGUUAGCAAAAGAAUAAGCACCGGCUAACUCCGUGCCAGCAGCCGCGGUAAUACGGAGGGUGCGAGCGUUAAUCGGAAUUACUGGGCGUAAAGGGUUCGUAGGUGGUGAGAUAAGUCAGAUGUGAAAGCCCUGGGCUUAACCUGGGAGUUGCAUAUGAAACUGUUUGACUAGAGUUUGGUAGAGGAUUGGGGAAUUUCCAGUGUAGCGGUGAAAUGCGUAGAGAUUGGGAAGAACAUCGAUGGCGAAGGCAACAAUCUGGACUGAACUGACACUGAGGGACGAAAGCGUGGGUAGCAAACAGGAUUAGAUACCCUGGUAGUCCACGCUGUAAACGAUGAGUACUAGCUGUUGGUCCUGGUGUAAAAGGAUUAGUGGCGCAGCUAACGCGCUAAGUACUCCGCCUGGGGACUACGGCCGCAAGGUUAAAACUCAAAGGAAUUGACGGGGACCCGCACAAGCGGUGGAGCAUGUGGUUUAAUUCGAUGCAACGCGAAGAACCUUACCUACCCUUGACAUCCUAAGAAGACGAAAGAGUUUUUGUUGUGCCUUCGGGAACUUAGAGACAGGUGCUGCAUGGCUGUCGUCAGCUCGUGUUGUGAGAUGUUGGGUUAAGUCCCGCGACGAGCGCAACCCUUAUGUUUAGUUGCCAUCAUUAAGUUGGGCACUCUAAAGAGACUGCCGCUGAUAAGGCGGAGGAAGGUGGGGACGACGUCAAGUCAUCAUGGCCCUUACGGGUAGGGCUACACACGUGCUACAAUGGGCAUUACAGAGGGCAGCGAAGGGGUGACCUGGAGCGAAACCCAGAAAGGUGUUCGUAGUCCGGAUUGAUCUCUGCAACUCGAGAUCAUGAAGUCGGAAUCGCUAGUAAUCGCGAAUCAGAAUGUCGCGGUGAAUACGUUCCCGGGUCUUGUACACACCGCCCG
rnacentral:rRNA from 1 species